rnacentral:lncRNA from 1 species
ACGAAUCAGUAACUACAUAAAUUCGAUUAAUAGCCAGAUAAUUAUAGGAUACGCUCCCGUAUAAUUAAAAAUCUAAAUUUUUAUUUGAAAAUCGGGCCGCACCUCCUUUAUUUAUCGGACUACCAGUCGAUAUCAUAUAUCGACACCAACAACCACAAUCAAGCCUGUAAUCAAUCCAAAUAACUUACUUUAUAACUACUAUCCGAAAUCGAUACUCAAUUAUAGCUACUAAUUAAACCCGAUAAUCAAUCAAAUAAACCAACAACCGAAAUAAUAAUUAAAAGCGUAUCAGGAAAUCCAUAUCAAGACUCGAGCCACCCGAAUAAAUUUUAUAGCUACACAUAAUCAGCACCCGGCCACUCCGGCCCCACACACACACUAAAACACAUGGGAAACACACACGAAACCCACACACACACAUCCCAGUACUCGAUUAUGCACGCACACACCCCUGAUACACUCACCCCAGCCCUGAUUACACACACUCGCGCAAUACAGAACACACACUCACACACCUGUUAUACACACACAAGCACAUAGACAUACACAAAACACACACACACCCAUCGCACUUAUACACACACACCAGUACACGCACGAAUUACACACACAAUAUAAUCACAGCCGCAAGAAAGGACAGAAAACGACGCAGGAAAAGGAAAAGGAAGGACAGGGGAGAGAGAUGGAGAGAAACCGAAGGGAGAGAGAGGCUGUUACCUUCCAGAUAAACUGAGCUCAUGGAGCGAAUAGAGUAAAGAAAACUAAGAGAGAGACAUUCAUUAUGUAAAAAUGUAUAUUACAACUGGUGAGAAUGAGUAGUAGCUGUACAAAUGUAUUUAUAGACAACAGAGUCAACACUUUGACUCUAACAGAAAACAGUUAUGAAACUUAAGGGACUGUUUGGCUAUAAGCUAUUCUCAAGUUGUGCUUUAGUUCAGGCUUGACAGCUAAUAUGUCAUUAGAGGCUGAGAUUGUGGUGAACGGCGGCGACUGGAACGGUGGCCGGAGAGAGGGAGAUGCGGGGAGAGUGCGAGCCGGAGAGAGACUGGAGUGAAGGAGAGAGACGAGUUGAGGGAUAGAUUCAG